rnacentral:misc_RNA from 1 species
AAGUCGUAACAAGGUCUCUAUAGGUAAACCUGCGGAGGGAUCAUUAUAAAGAACAUCGCCCUCACGGGUGACUCUCUAACCCUAUGUUAUACAACCUUUGUUACUUUGGCAAGCCGCCUCGGCCGCUAGCUUCGGCUAGCGAGUGCUCGCCAGAGGACCCCGAACUCUAAAUAUUAAUGUUGUCUAAGUACUAUAUAAUAGUUAAAA